UCCAGACUCCUACGGGAGGCAGCAGUGAGGAAUAUUGGUCAAUGGUCGGGAGACUGAACCAGCCAAGCCGCGUGAGGGAGGAAGGUACAGAGUAUCGUAAACCUCUUUUGUCAGGGAACAAAGGCGGGGACGUGUCCCCGGAUGAGUGUACCUGAAGAAAAAGCAUCGGCUAACUCCGUGCCAGCAGCCGCGGUAAUACGGAGGAUGCGAGCGUUAUCCGGAUUUAUUGGGUUUAAAGGGUGCGCAGGCGGAAUGUCAAGUCAGCGGUAAAAUUUCGGGGCUCAACCCCGUCGUGCCGUUGAAACUGGCGUCCUUGAGUGAGCGAGAAGUAUGCGGAAUGCGUGGUGUAGCGGUGAAAUGCAUAGAUAUCACGCAGAACUCCGAUUGCGAAGGCAGCAUACCGGCGCUCAACUGACGCUCAUGCACGAAAGCGUGGGUAUCGAACAGGAUUAGAUACCCGGGUA
rnacentral:rRNA from 1 species